rnacentral:tRNA from 8 species
AAGGAGUUAGUUAAAAUAUAACAUUAGAAUGUCAAUCUAAAAUAACUAUAUACUAGUACACCUUG